rnacentral:lncRNA from 1 species
GCCGUACACGUGUCCCACGACUCCAAUUACUCUCCGGAUUAACCGAGGCGUCGCCUCGGUUACAAAAUCCAUCAUUACUUAGCAUUAAUGGUGAGGAGACGGCUAGACGGAGGAGACACACCUCCGCACGCUAACCCUCUAGGGGUUCGCCACGUGUCAACUGCCAUCAGACGAAGCGUCUAAUGGAAGCCACCACUUUUGGGAAGAAGGCGCCAAUCGUCUGCGGUAUCCGCUGAGCGAAACCCCGCUAGAGGAACUUCUCCCUUGUCGCUUUCCAAGUGUCGAAGUCCGCUGAGCGAAACCCCGCUAGCGUAACUUCUCCCUUGUCGCUUUCCAAGUGUCGAAGUCCGUUGAGCGAAACCCGCUAGCGGAACUUCUCCCUUGUCGCAUUCCAAGUGUCGAAGUCCGCUGAGCGAAACCCCGCUAGCGAAACCUCUCCCUUGUCGCAUUCCCAGUGUCGAAGUCCGUUGAGCGAAACCCCGCUAGCGGAACUUCUCCCUUGUCGCUUUCCGAGUGUCGAAGUCCGCUGAGCGAAACCCCGCUAGUGGAACUUCUCCCUUGUCGCUUUCCCAGUGCCGAAGUCCUCUGAACGAAACCCCGCUAGUGGAACUUCUCCCUUGUCGCAUUCCAAGUGUUGAAGUCCGCUGAGCGAAACCCCGCUAGCGGAGCUUCUCGUCACUUUCCGACUGUUGGGGUCCGCUGGGCGAAACUCGGCCAGCGGGAAUUCUCCCUUAGCACCCUACUACCGUCAAAGUCUCCGCUGAGCGAAUCCCCGUUAGCGGAACUUCCUCUCAUCAACUUGCAACAGGCAGCCUCUGCUACACGCAAUACUGCUGGCAGAGCUCCCUCUAUCUUGCAAACCCCGUGCUUUGCUGAGGGCAACUCCGCUCAAUAGCUACCGCCAAACACGUCUGCGCGACGCUGUUUCCUGCUACAACUAGCGGGGGGUAUCCGCCAGCGGCGAAUCCCGAGGCUACGCCUCACUCUGACAACGACCGCCACGCGGCGUUACGAUCAGAUCGUCCCUACGGGACACGGGGACUUGUCAACAGUCUACGACGACCCUGAUCAGGUACGUUGACCCCCGUCACUUAGGUACU